UACGUAGGGGGCUAGCGUUGUCCGGAUUUAUUGGGCGUAAAGAGCGUGUAGGCGGCCAGGUAGGUCUGCUGUGAAAACUCGAGGCUCAACCUCGAGACGUCGGCGGAAACCAUCUGGCUAGAGUCCGGAAGAGGAGAGUGGAAUUCCUGGUGUAGCGGUGAAAUGCGCAGAUAUCAGGAAGAACACCCGUGGCGAAGGCGGCUCUCUGGGAAGGUACGGACGCUAAGGCGCGAAAGCGUGGGGAGCGAACAGG
rnacentral:rRNA from 1 species